AGUUAAACUCAGUGCAGUGGUGUUUACAGCUAAUUGCUCACAACCACAGAUUUCUUUGUUCCUUCUUCACUCCCACUGCAUCACUUAACUAGGCUUAA
rnacentral:Y_RNA from 1 species